AUACGGAGGGUGCAAGCGUUAUCCGGAAUCACUGGGUUUAAAGGGUGCGUAGGCGGCCAUAUUAGUCAGUAGUGAAAGGUUGCAGCUUAACUGUAAGACUGCUAUUGAAACUGUAUGGCUUGAAUUAGGAUGAGGUAGGCGGAAUGUGACAUGUAGCGGUGAAAUGCUUAGAUAUGUCAUAGAACACCGAUUGCGUAGGCAGCUUACUAGACCUAUAUUGACGCUGAGGCACGAAAGCGUGGGGAGCGAACAGGAUUAGAAACCCCGGUAGUCC
rnacentral:rRNA from 1 species